rnacentral:lncRNA from 1 species
UGUGAACCGGUUCUACGCUUUGGGCUUCAAGCAGUCAACAGCGGAAUAUUUAGAAGUGGUUGCAGGAUGUCUGGUGUUAACUUUGUUUCUGAUAACCUGUACAUCAUGCAUCUUUGGCAAAUAUUCGAAAUGCAAAAUGUGAGCGACAUGAACCCAAUGUCAUCACUGCAUGAAGAGCAAGAGCCAAUAAGGUGAGCUGGAUGAACCCAAUGCCAUCACUGCAUGGAGAUCAAAGGCCAACAAGGUGAGCGGGAUGAACCCAAUGUCAUCAGUGCAUGGAGAUCAAAGACCAACAAGGUGAGCGGAAUGAACCCAAUGUCAUGGAGAGCAAGAGCCAACAAGGUAAUGUUUAAAUAAAUGUUACAGUAAGAGACACUGUGGAUAUAGCAAGAGAUGAAGGAAAAGGAAUGUUUUUUUUUUAUGUUAUUUCUUAUUUUAGUUUUGUAAUUUAUUAAAUGGAAAUAUAGAUACUGAAUGUACCUUUAUAGACAGUGGAUUCAGUUAUUAUUAAGGGAUUUAAAGGCCUCUUUUGUUUUAAGUACUACUUGUAUAUCAUGUUAUGAAAAAAAAAGAAGUGUCAAAGCCAGGUUUGAU